rnacentral:lncRNA from 1 species
AGUUAUUGGAUAUGUUUUGGAUUUUUUAUUCAUGAAGCAUUGAAUUAUUUUUUGGAUACCGUUUAUAAUAAUUCAUGAAAGUCGGUUUCGGUAAUAUUUUGGUUCGGUACUAGUUUUUUUUUUUUUGGGUCCGACCCUAAAUACGCUCAAGUUUCAUUUUAAUUUCAGUUUUUGUUUAGCUCUUAUACUUUUGAUAUUAAACUUUAAUCUUUUCUUACAAUACUUUUCACUUGGACAUUUAAUCGAACAUUUGGUGUGCAAACAUUUCGACAUCAUAUAUUACACUAACCAUUAUAAUCAAGCAUAACCCAUCAAGUUCAUAAUAAUCAUACACUACCUAUUAAUCAAGAAACCUAACCAAAUUUAUACACAACACAAAGAAUCGAAAACAAUUAAACAUUCUUGAUUCACAUGACGUACCUUUAUUUCUAACAUCCAAUGUGAAGCCGCAUUUUAGAGUGGAAUGUCAAUGGAGCACAUCUUGAUUCACUGCAGAAAUCUAGCCACAGCUGAUCGAAUGAAACAUUAAUGAUGUGAUUGUAGGUUUGAGAAACAGAGAAAGAUAUAAACAUCAAUUCAGGUUCGGGUAUCAGUUUAUACUGUUUUCGGGUAUCGGGUCGGUUCGGUUCCUAAUCGGGUCGGUUCUUGGCAUUUGCUCACCACUUUAGAGCAUUCACAUCCAUUCCAUUAAAUUCUUUGUGUGGAGUUUUUAUAAUAUAAAGAGUAUAAAGAGUGGUUGUGAGUGGAGGAGAGAGAAAAUGUUACUAAAAGGUAAUGAUAAAGGUAUAAAUAAAUAUUAUAUAAUUGAAAAGGAGGGAGAAAAUGUAGUGUUUUUUUAGUGUAAUUUAGGGUGAAAAUAUGAUGGAAUGGAUGUGAAUGCUCUUAAGCAAGGCUAAAGUGAGUCUCCUGCGCUAAGCAGGAGUAGGUCUUUGGUCAGUGUGCCCACAAAGUAAGGGAGGUUAAGACUUUUCUUACAUAGACGCAAGUUUCACUUCAAGCUAAUGCAUAAUUAAGAGAGACUUUCACUAUGCUAAAGUGCAGUGGGCUAGCUUUAGUUUGCCUGUUCUGGUAUCUUGAGCUCCCUUAAUAACUUUCUUUAUAUUAAUUCAGUGAAAUGAAGGUUGUUAAGAGGAGUUUUGUAACUCCAAAAUCAAAAUUCCCUGUCCCCUUUUCUUUGUAUAUAAUAUGUUUAUCAAUCCAAUGACCUCGUUAUCAACACAACCGACACUGAGGUGAGCGGGGAGGACCAACGGCCAGGGCACAUUAAAAAAAUAUUAUAUAUAUUUUAAAAAAAUAGAAAACCCAUAUAAAACAUAAACUUAUAUUUUAGGCUCAUUUAAAACUAUGGAUCUCAAAAUUUAUAACUUAAGCUCGUUAGGUAUUAGCCCAAUGCCCAUUUUGGCUUUAAAUUAAUAAGAAUCAUAAUAAUAACAUCAACGUGUGGCAAAAUAAGUUUACAUUAUCUAUUUCGUUACGGUGAGGGGCACGUAUUUUCCGGGCUUAGACAGCCUGAAUUCUCAGGUUCGGCCCCUGGUUAUCAGUUUGAACUUGAAAAGUUUUUAUUACAGAGGAGGUAAAAGGGGAAAAAACACGAAACCUAGUUAGAGCACAAAACAAAAACCAAAUUGAAACCAAUCGAGUUCCCACCUGCCACAACGUGCGGGAUUAAUCACACUUGUGUAAAUAAAAUGACCACUCAUGUUACAGGUUUUGAAAACAAGGGGGUAUUUCUGUAAGUUUUAAAAUGGGAGAAUAAAAAUUGUACCUUUGACAAAACCAUAAGAACAAAUCGUGAACUUUACACUAAUUAGAAGAAAAAUGGUAUAAUAUGAGCUAACUCUUACCUUUUCACAGUUCCAACCACAAUUUGCACAUUGGCUUGGAAUUAUUGGAGUAUAACUUGCAAAUUCGUUUGUAGAAAACUAGUUGAGUGUUCGUUGUUUUGUUGUACUCUGUUUGUUUCUUGAUGCUUUGUAUUUAUCUCUGCAAAUUUUAACAUAAAAGGUAUUAAACAAACUGAAAUCCGAUUAAUAAAAUUGGCAACCAGUUAGGGAAUGUAUGCUAAAGCAUUCAAAGCCAAAACCAUAUGAAUUCAUAAAACGUGUUAAAAGUCAAAUUAAUAAGAACAAGAAUUAACAAAUGAAUUUAACACAAACUAAAUUUCUGAUUACUGAAUGAUGUUAGACAAUCGUUCCCUACUUGUUAGUGAACCGGCGUGAAACGAUGGACGCAGCGAUUGAGAUAUGCUGAUUUACUUAAAUGACACCCUAAACCCCUUACAUAAUAAACUAUAGACCUUAAACACACUUUACAAUGAUAGCGCUUAUACCUGUGCCUGGCAAAAUGAACGGGUCAGAUUGGGUGUAGUGAAGGAUCAAAACGGGUUCGGGUCAGAAUGGGUGCGGGUCAGAACGGGUCAUGUUAAGGAAAGGGUCAUUUCGGUUCGGGUCAGAACAGGUCAUUUUACAGACUGAUGUCUGCACCCUGCAGUAAUAGAAUCUUUAUUCUCUACGGUUUUGCUUUCUUCACUAAAAUAGAAAUUGAAACAGAUGUUGAAUAGAAAUUCAUUUUAAUUGAAAAAUUAAAAUUCAGUUAAACUAAAAGAAAGCAAAUAAACACAAAUCAAAUAUUAAAAAAUACUAAUUGAGAAAAGAACAACCAACGAUCGUUUCUUCCAGCAAAGCAGCGACGAUUCAUAAUUCAUGCGGUUUCAAUUCAGUAAUCUCUCCACCUGAUCUCUCGCAUAUGUCAACCCGUUUGGGUUCGUAACUGUCAGCCAUUGAGUGAUCAUUUACACACUCACCGGUUACACCAUCGAUCCAUUACGUUACAACCUCCGCAUAACAUCGAAACACCGUCGUUUAAUAUGUUACCAACUUUAUGGUGGUCGGCGUCACCAGUUUACCGGAAGAAAGAAACACCGUCGUUUGCUAUGUCACCAACUUAAUGGUGGUCGGCGUCGCUAGUUUACCGAAACACAGAGAUAGUGCGUAAAGGAGACAAGAGUAGAGGAGAAUCUGUAAGCUUCUAAUAUGGUGGUAUGGUGAGAUUUUUCUAAGAACCAAUUUUGUGUGAGAGUGACGAUCUCAGAUUUAGAGAGAAGAAAAAGAAAAACUUAUGAGAAAAAACACUAGAAUUCUUCUAACCAGUUCCACCCGUUUCUUUUUUCUUCCGAAC